CGGGACGGGUGAGUAAUGUCUGGGAAACUGCCUGAUGGAGGGGGGUAACUACUGGAAACGGUAGCUAAUACCGCAUAACGUCGCGAGACCAAAGAGGGGGACCUUCGGGCCUCUUGCCAUCGGAUGUGCCCAGAUGGGAUUAGCUAGUAGGUGGGGUAACGGCUCACCUAGGCGACGAUCCCUAGCUGGUCUGAGAGGAUGACCAGCCACACUGGAACUGAGACACGGUCCAG
rnacentral:rRNA from 1 species